GACGAACGCUGGCGGCGUGCUUAACACAUGCAAGUCGAACGCUGAAGCUCAGCUUUUGUUGGGUGGAUGAGUGGCGAACGGGUGAGUAACGCGUGAGUAACCUGCCCCCUUCUUUGGGAUAACGCCCGGAAACGGGUGCUAAUACUGGAUAUUCACUGGUCUUCGCAUGGGGGUUGGUGGAAAGGGUUUUUCUGGUGGGGGAUGGGCUCGCGGCCUAUCAGCUUGUUGGUGGGGUGAUGGCCUACCAAGGCUUUGACGGGUAGCCGGCCUGAGAGGGUGACCGGUCACAUUGGGACUGAGAUACGGCCCAGACUCCUACGGGGGGCAGCAGUGGGGAAUAUUGCACAAUGGGCGCAAGCCUGAUGCAGCGACGCCGCGUGAGGGAUGGAGGCCUUCGGGUUGUGAACCUCUUUCGCUCAUGGUCAAGCCGCAACAAUGGUUGUGGUGAGGGUAGUGGGUAAAGAAGCGCCAGCUAACUACGUG
rnacentral:rRNA from 1 species